rfam:Toxocara canis scaffold996, whole genome shotgun sequence.
GCCUCGGUGGCUCACGGGCAGAGCGUCUGUCUCGUAAACAGAAGGCGGCUGGUUCGAUUCCAGCACGAGGCA